CCGACGAUAGCUCAGUUGGUAGAGCGGUGGACUGUAGAUCCAUAGGUCGGUGGUUCAAAUCCGCCUCGUCGGA
rnacentral:tRNA from 1 species